UGCCAGCAGCCGCGGUAAUACGGAGGGUGCAAGCGUUACUNGGAAUCACUGGGCGUAAAGCGCGCGCAGGCGGCUAUUUAAGUUGGAUGUGAAAGCCUACGGCUCAACCGUAGAACUGCAUCCAAAACUAUUUAGCUAGAGUGUGGGAGAGGAAGAUGGAAUUAGUUGUGUAGGGGUAAAAUCCGUAGAGAUAACUAGGAAUACCAAAAGCGAAGGCAAUCUUCUGGAACAUUACUGACGCUGAGGCGCGAAAGCGUGGGGAGCAAACAGGAUUAGAUACCCUGGUAGUCCACGCCCUAAACGAUGAAUGUUAGUCGUCGGGUAGCUAGUCUAUUCGGUGAUGCAGCUAACGCAUUAAACAUUCCGCCUGGGGAGUACGGUCGCAAGAUUAAAACUCAAAGGAAUAGACGGGGACCCGCACAAGUGGUGGAGCAUGUGGUUUAAUUCGAAGAUACGCGAAGAACCUUACCUAGCCUUGACAUAUAUUAGAACUCCGCAGAGAUGCAGAGGUGCCUUCGGGAGCUUUUAUACAGGUGCUGCACGGCUGUCGUCAGCUCGUGUCGUGAGAUGUUGGGUUAAGUCCCGCAACGAGCGCAACCCUCGUCACUAGUUACUAACGGUUCGGCCGAGGACUCUAGUGAGACUGCCUUCGUAAGGAGGAGGAAGGUGAGGACGACGUCAAGUCAUCAUGGCCCUUACGGCUAGGGCAACACAAGUGCUACAAUGGCCAGGACAAUGAGAAGCGAUACCGCGAGGUGGAGCAAAUCUAUAAACCUGGUCUCAGUUCGGAUUGUAGUCUGCAACUCGACUACAUGAAGCUGGAAUCACUAGUAAUCGUAGAUCAGCUAUGCUACGGUGAAUACGUUCCCGGGUCUUGUACUCACCGCCCGUC
rnacentral:rRNA from 1 species